GGGUUGUGGCUCAGAGGUAGAGUGCUUGCCUAGCAUGCGUGAGGCACUGGUUUUGAUCCCUGGCCCCA
rnacentral:tRNA from 1 species